rnacentral:misc_RNA from 1 species
UCAAACUUGGUCAUUUAGAGGAAGUAAAAGUCGUAACAAGGUUUCCGUAGGUGAACCUUCGGAAGGAUCAUUACCGUAACGCGGCGGUCUGGCAACCGCAAGGAAGUCGGCCGCCACACGCGUUUAUCACCCUUGACUUUGAGCACCUUUCGUUUCCUCGGCGGGUUCGCCCGCCAGCGAGGACCCCCAUAAACCCUUUGUAAUAGCAAUUUUUGUCUGAAAAACAACCAAUAAUCAAAACUUUCAACAAUGGAUCUCUUGGUUCUGGCAUCGAUGAAGAACGCAGC